rnacentral:rRNA from 1 species
AGUGAACGCUGGCGGUAGGCCUAACACAUGCAAGUCGAACGGCAGCACAGUAAGAGCUUGCUCUUACGGGUGGCGAGUGGCGGACGGGUGAGGAAUACAUCGGAAUCUACUUUUUCGUGGGGGAUAACGUAGGGAAACUUACGCUAAUACCGCAUACGACCUACGGGUGAAAGCAGGGGAUCUUCGGACCUUGCGCGAUUGAAUGAGCCGAUGUCGGAUUAGCUAGUUGGCGGGGUAAAGGCCCACCAAGGCGACGAUCCGUAGCUGGUCUGAGAGGAUGUACGGCAACAGUGGGAAAGAGAGACGGUCCAGACUCCUCCGAGAGGCAGCAGUGGGGGAUGUUGGACAAUGGGCGCAAGCCUGAUCGAGCCAUACCGCGUAGGUGAAGAAAGCAGUCGGGUUGUAAAGCCCUUUUGUUGGGAAAGAAAAGCAGCAGGUUAAUACCCCGCUGUUCUGAGGGUACCCAAAGGAUAAGCACCGGCUAGCUUCGUG